AGUGAACGCUGGCGGUAGGCCUAACACAUGCAAGUCGAACGGCAGCACAGUAAGAGCUUGCUCUUACGGGUGGCGAGUGGCGGACGGGUGAGGAAUACAUCGGAAUCUACUUUUUCGUGGGGGAUAACGUAGGGAAACUUACGCUAAUACCGCAUACGACCUACGGGUGAAAGCAGGGGAUCUUCGGACCUUGCGCGAUUGAAUGAGCCGAUGUCGGAUUAGCUAGUUGGCGGGGUAAAGGCCCACCAAGGCGACGAUCCGUAGCUGGUCUGAGAGGAUGAUCAGCCUCACUGGAACUGAGGCACGGUCCAGACUCCUACGGGAGGCAGCAGUGGGGAAUAUUGGACAAUGGGCGCAAGCCUGAUCCAGCCAUACCGCGUGGGUGAAGAAGGCCUUCGGGUUGUAAAGCCCUUUUGUUGGGAAAGAAAAGCAGCAGGUUAAUACCCCGCUGUUCUGACGGUACCCAAAGAAUAAGCACCGGCUAACUUCGUG
rnacentral:rRNA from 1 species